rnacentral:rRNA from 1 species
GACGAACGCUGGCGGCGUGCUUAACACAUGCAAGUCGAGCGGUAAGGCCCUUUCGGGGGUACACGAGCGGCGAACGGGUGAGUAACACGUGGGUGACCCUGCCCUUAGCUCUGGGAUAAGACCUGGGGAAACUGGGUCUAAUACCGGAUAUGACUCCAUGACGCAUGUUGUGGGGUGGAAAGCCUUGUGCGGCUAGGGAUGGGCCCGCGGCCUAUCAGCUUGUUGGUGGGGUGAUGGCCUACCAAGGCGACGACGGGUAGCCGGCCUGAGAGGGCGACCGGCCACACUGGGACUGAGACACGGCCCAGACUCCUACGGGAGGCAGCAGGUGGGGAAUCUUGCGCAAUGGGCGAAAGCCUGACGCAGCGACGCCGCGUGGGGGAUGACGGCCUCGGUUGUAACGU